rnacentral:rRNA from 1 species
GAUAAGGAGCUUGCUCCUUUGACGUUAGCGGCGGACGGGUGAGUAACACGUGGAUAACCUACCUAUAAGACUGGGAUAACUUCGGGAAACCGGAGCUAAUACCGGAUAAGAUUUUGAACCGCAUGGUUCAAUAGUGAAAGACGGCCUUGCUGUCACUUAUAGAUGGAUCCGCGCCGUAUUAGCUAGUUGGUAAGGUAACGGCUUACCAAGGCAACGAUACGUAGCCGACCUGAGAGGGUGAUCGGCCACACUGGAACUGAGACACGGUCCAGACUCCUACGGGAGGCAGCAGUAGGGAAUCUUCCGCAAUGGGCGAAAGCCUGACGGAGCAAUGCCGCGUGAGUGAUGAAGGUCUUCGGAUCGUAAAACUCUGUUAUCAGGGAAGAACAAACGUGUAAGUAACUGUGCACGUCUUGACGGUACCUGAUCAGAAAGCCACGGCUAACUACGUGCCAGCAGCCGCGGUAAUACGUAGGUGGCAAGCGUUAUCCGGAAUUAUUGGGCGUAAAGCGCGCGUAGGCGGUUUUUUAAGUCUGAUGUGAAAGCCCACGGCUCAACCGUGGAGGGUCAUUGGAAACUGGAAAACUUGAGUGCAGAAGAGGAAAGUGGAAUUCCAUGUGUAGCGGUGAAAUGCGCAGAGAUAUGGAGGAACACCAGUGGCGAAGGCGACUUUCUGGUCUGUAACUGACGCUGAUGUGCGAAAGCGUGGGGAUCAAACAGGAUUAGAUACCCUGGUAGUCCACGCCGUAAACGAUGAGUGCUA